AUGUGUGUACCAAAUAAAGAAGGGGGAAUGUGUUUCAGAUAUAUACAUUGUUUCAAUCUUGCUCUAUUGGCCAAACAAGCUUGUAGUUUGAUAGAUAAUCCUGAGUCCCUUUGUGCCACAAUACUUUGUGCAAAAUAUUUUCCUGAUGGCAACUUGCUUAAUGCCACUUUGAAGAAGAAGGCAUCUUAUACAUGGCAGAGUAUUAUGGAAGGAGUGAGUACACUCAAGCUGGGACAUGUUUGGCGAGUUGGAGAUGGGAAAAAUAUUAAUAUUUGGUAUGAUGCAUGGAUACCACGGUCUCCAUCUAGACUGGCGGUGACUAGAAGGGGUAAUCAACUACUCUCUAAGGUGGAUGAUUUGAUUGACCCGACUGUCGGUGUCAAAACCGGCGGAUCUCGAGUAGGGGGUCCCGAACUGUGUGUCUAA
rnacentral:rRNA from 1 species